rnacentral:rRNA from 1 species
AGCAGUGAGGAAUAUUGGACAAUGGGCGCAAGCCUGAUCCAGCCAUGCCGCGUGCAGGAUGACGGUCCUAUGGAUUGUAAACUGCUUUUGUACGAGAAGAAACACUCCAACGUGUUGGAGCUUGACGGUAUCGUAAGAAUAAGGAUCGGCUAACUCCGUGCCAGCAGCCGCGGUAAUACGGAGGAUCCAAGCGUUAUCCGGAAUCAUUGGGUUUAAAGGGUCCGUAGUAAGUCAGUGGUGAAAGCCCAUCGCUCAACGGUGGAACGGCCAUUGAUACUGCUGAACUUGAAUUAUUAGGAAGUAACUAGAAUAUGUAGUGUAGCGGUGAAAUGCUUAGAGAUUACAUGGAAUACCAAUUGCGAAGGCAGGUUACUACUAAUGGAUUGACGCUGAUGGACGAAAGCGUGGGUAGCGAACAGGAUUAGAUACCCUGGUAGUCCACGCCGUAAACGAUGGAUACUAGCUGUUGGAAGCAAUUUCAGUGGCUAAGCGAAAGUGAUAAGUAUCCCACCUGGGGAGUACGUUCGCAAGAAUGAAACUCAAAGGAAUUGACGGGGGCCCGCACAAGCGGUGGAGCAUGUGGUUUAAUUCGAUGAUACGCGAGGAACCUUACCAAGGCUUAAAUGUAGAUUGACCGGUUUGGAAACAGAUCUUUCGCAAGACAAUUUACAAGGUGCUGCAUGGUUGUCGUCAGCUCGUGCCGUGAGGUGUCAGGUUAAGUCCUAUAACGAGCGCAACCCCUGUUGUUAGUUGCCAGCGAGUCAAGUCGGGAACUCUAACAAGACUGCCAGUGCAAACUGUGAGGAAGGUGGGGAUGACGUCAAAUCAUCACGGCCCUUACGCCUUGGGCUACACACGUGCUACAAUGGCCGGUACAGAGAGCAGCCACUGGGCGACCAGGAGCGAAUCUAUAAAACCGGUCACAGUUCGGAUCGGAGUCUGCAACUCGACUCCGUGAAGCUGGAAUC